rnacentral:rRNA from 1 species
UUUAUUGGAGAGUUUGAUCCUGGCUCAGGACGAACGCUGGCGGCGUGCCUAAUACAUGCAAGUCGAGCGAAUCUGAGGGAGCUUGCUCCCAAAGAUUAGCGGCGGACG